UACGUAGGGGGCAAGCGUUGUCCGGAAUCAUUGGGCGUAAAGAGCGUGUAGGCGGUCCGAUAAGUCCGCUCUGAAAGCCCGGGGCUCAACCCCGGGAGGCGGGCGGAUACUGUCGGGCUAGAGUCCGGAAGAGGCAAGUGGAAUUCCUGGUGUAGCGGUGAAAUGCGCAGAUAUCAGGAGGAACACCGAUGGCGAAGGCAGCUUGCUGGGACGGUACUGACGCUGAGACGCGAAAGCGUGGGGAGCAAACAGGAUUAGAGUACCCUUGUAAGUC
rnacentral:rRNA from 1 species